UCCUCCGCCUUUGCGGGAAAAAAUCGAUAAGAUUUGUUUGUUUCUGUUCUCAGCUUGCAAGCACUGCUGGCGCAAGCGGGAAGCGGCGGUGGUGAGGCGGAAUCAGUCGUUGGCUAUUCUUCGCUGCCCCAGGAUGCUGCGGCCGCGGCGGCGACGGUUGACGUCGGCGAAAGCACCAGUACUGGAUCAUGCAACUCGGUGGUAGGGGCCAACUGCACUGCGGCCGCUGGCGAGGGAUUGCAGGCUGACGCAUCCGUCGCCGAGGCCAGCGAUGUGUGCGAGCGCACCAUCGUCUCAGGCUGGAAGAAGAGGUGGUGUAUGGGGGGAAACUACAACCCUGCUGUAAUAUGUGCAUCCAAUUUUUAGAUUCAGGACCCGUUUUAGAAACAAACAUACUCGAAAGAAAAGGCGUUUGUUAUAUUUUGGAGCAGUGCAAUUUUUUGCCAUCUGAUGUCCAACAGUAAAAUGGUUGAUGCAUGGCUGGCAGGCACCCCCCGAAAGACCACUAAACUCCACCCACGGCACAGCGCUUGAGCGGACCCUGCGGGAUUUCCCAGCCAGGUCGAAUGGUGAGGUCGUAAUUGUGCCAGAGGUUGGAGUUACGUUUGAUUCAAUUGGCGAGGCUUACGACUUCUACAAUUUGUAUUCAUGGGAACGGGGUUUGGAGUCAGAUAUGGCAAAAGCCGUCUCAAUGUUGAUCAAGUGAAGUGCAUGCAAGAAAUAGUUUGCGGGUGUUCGGUUAGUACUUUUUCUUCAGCCACGACGCCGGUGAAGCGGUACGAGGCAUUGGGUAGGGAAGGCACCACCCGAGAGGGCAUUGAAUUCUUCACGCAUCAGUGCUUUGGAACAAACAUUACGUGACUACCCAAAUAGAGACUAUGGUGAAGUAAUUGUGCCGGCUGUUGGGGUUACGUUUGAUUCCGCUGGGGAAGCAUAUGAAUUUUACAAUAUUUAUUUCUGGGAACUAGGCUUUGGUGUUACUAUGGAAAAAAUAGGCUAAACUUAGACAGGGUAAAGUGCACGCAAAAAUUGUUUGUGGAUGUUUAGUGAGUUUUCUGAAAAAAAAUCUCUAUAAUUUCGUUAAUGAACUGUCAAUGUUUAGCAGAAAGGUUUCAACUCUGACGUGGUUGAACUUGAACAAAUGAAUCUUGCAGGGGAAACCCAGGGUAAUGAAUUCACAAUCAACAAGAUGCCUCUGCCCUGCUCUUGUUAGAUUGUUGUGCUCCAUAGAUGCCUCUGCCCUGCUCUUGUCAGUAACAGUGUUCAAGAAGACGAUGACACUAGAAUUAGGAACCUCCUCUUGAUAAUUGGCAACAGCAGGGGACAGUACCAUUAUUUUGGCAAUGCAAUCAGCUUCCACACGACGUACAUAACAAAUCUAUAUGACAUGCCAUUCAUCCUGAUUGUUGGGGUGAACCACCACUUUCAGAGUGUAAUGUUUGGAGGUGUGUUUCUUCAGGAAGAGAAAGUUGAAAACUUUGAGUGGGUUUUUACAGAAUUUGUAAAUAUGAUGGGAGCGAAGAACCCAUUAACCAUACUGACAGACCAAAGCAGGGCUAUGGAAGUGGCAAUAUCGAAUGUUUUGCCCGGAACAAAACAUCGUUGGUGCAAAUGGCAUGUGCUCAGAAAAGCGAACGAGCGCCUUGGGGCACUAUAUGUCCAAACAGUCAAGUCAAAGUUGAUUUCUACAGGAUCGUGAACCAAAUGGUGAUGUAGGAGGAGUUUGAGGGGGGCAUGGAGAGAUAUGCUCUACAUGUACUGCUUGGAGAAGAAUUCGUACUUCAUACAGAUAUAUUAUAUACCAGGGAAAAAAAAUGGGCAAACCCAUAUUCCAGUGGUAUAUUCUGUGAUACCUAGAGAAGCGAAGGCGAAUCACAUGUUCAAGACUUAUGUGCCCCCGGCUCGCCUAUGCAUCUGUUAACGAGCUGUUGUAUACUUGUAUGACAGAGACUCGGAAGAAAUCUUCCAGGAGAAGAGGACACCAUUGGGUAGUGUGAUCUUAAAGUAGGCCUCCCAAUUGAGAAUCAUGCUGCGAAAGUUGUACACGAGAACAAUGUUCGAGAGGUUUCAAGAUGCUGCCAUUCCUAACUUCAGCUGAAUUGUAUGGAGGUGGUCCGACUUCGGGAUGUAAAUGUUGAGUCUUUCAGAAAUGCAAUGGAGGCACGGUGAAAUGAGUUGCUUCCCGAACUCAUCAAGGUUGAAAAUGGAGGGAUAUGCCUUGAGGAAAGGCCGAGUGCGAAGAAAGCACGUGCCAAUGUUACUUUGGAUCGACAUAGAGAAGCUCUGGCUGCACAUCAGCAAUGAGCUUGGAUGCUACUCCGCCAUGGUCCGCAAAACCUACGAAAGAAGCAAAAUGUUCCAUUUGUGGUCUACCUAGACAUCGGAAGAACAAUUGCUUUUAGAAAAAACAUAGUCAUCCAGGUAAACGGUUUGUGGUGGCUCAUUUAUUUGUGCAAUUCUUUUUGUUGAUUCUAUAAAAAUGUGGCAAACUUUUGAUAUCGGUUUGCGGAGAGUUUUAUUUAGACCUAUAUCGCACUUAAUAUUGGUGAUCUGGCUAGUUUGUCCAGAUGUGUGUUGUAAACCUAAUUUGUAGUUUUGGUGGUUCUGUUGAUGAAUCUUGCUAACCGCCAGUUUACGUA